GAAUAGUUGGACUUGUUUUUGGAAGCAAUAUACUUUUACUGUUGUUAUACGUCUUUGAAUGGGUAAACAUAUGUAUGUGAUCAACAAGAUUACUAUUUAGUCCAAUACUGAUGAUGAAUUGUUACAGGUUUGGUGAAAAAGUCUGUUAGUAUUUUCAAAGGAGUACAUUUGACAUCACUGUGAGUUGGUGCUGCCCUUCUCAACUGUCACAGGAGCAUGCAGCACAGGAUUUGAAAGCACCUGAGGCUCCUCAAUACCGAAUGUGUUUGUAUUUUGAAGUAUUGAGAUCUUCAGAACUUUACCUCCGACCUGAGAAUUUAAUCCUAUUCAAUCCAUGCAGUACAUACAGUGUGCGCUAUGACUGCUGGGAUUUGGUAAAGCAUAUUUUCCUUAUAAUAAUUUGCAGUUCUGCUUAUGGGUCUGUGGCACACUCAGCAUCAUGCAAAGCAUCCAGGCAUCUUCUGGCAGUGCCCCUUCUGAACUGCAGACAUCUCUGCUGUUUGCAUUCUUUCUAUAGAUCAUAUUAUUUGCUUUCUACAGCUGUAACCAUUCCAACUUCUUUUUCUGUAGAUUACCCCCAAGUAUCCACACCAAGAACUGACUCAGUAUUCAAACACAGGUCUUCACAGUGCUCAGCACAUUGCCUGAUACACCUUACAGAAAACACUCCAACCAGAACAGUAUGGGGAGAGCUGAAAACCACCGGAGACUUAUUAAGAAAACUAUUAAAAACCAUUAAACACUAUGGGUUUUUUUUUCUGGAGUUGCAUCAGGGAGAGUUCAGGUGGGGGUCAGGGAACGGUUCUACUCCAGAGGGCGGUAGGCAUGGAACAGGCUUCCCAGGGCAGUGUGCACAGCCCUGAGUACCGGAGUUCAAGGAGCAUUUGGACAACACUCUCAGACACUGGGUUUGGAUUUUGGGUGGUCUGGGAGUUGGAUGUGAUGAACCUUCAGGUCCCUUCCAACUCAGGA
ensembl:lncRNA